AUAACACGGUGAAAACUAAACGAAAUAAAAAAAAAUAGAAAAAAGAGGUGCAACACAAGGACUUCCCAGGAGGUCACCCAUCCUAGUACUACUCUCGCCCAAGCACGAUUAACUGUGGAGUUGUGAUGGGAUCCGGUGCAUUAGUGCUGGUAUGAUCGCACCUAAUAUAUAAUACGGUUUAAUUGUAUAUAUGUCUUCCAUAUUUCAGGCCAAAUUUUGGAGAAAUCCGAGAAAGUAGAAUAAAACACGAUAUUUUUCAUUAAUCUCGCCAAAAAUUGAACGAUAAAAUUUAUAACACAGUGAAAACUAAACGAAAUAAAAAGAAAUCGAAAAAAGAGGUGCAACACAAGGACUUCCCAGGAGGUCACCCAUCCUAGUACUACUCUCGCCUAAGCACGCUUAACUACGGAGUUCUGAUGGGAUCCGGUGCAUUAGUGCUGGUAUGAUCGCACCUGAUAUAUAAUACGGUUUAAUUGUAUAUAUGUCUUCCAUCUUUCAGGCNNNNNNNNNNNNNNNNNNNNNNNNNNNNNNNNNNNNNNNNNNNUCGAAAAAAGAGGUGCAACACAAGGACUUCCCAGGAGGUCACCCAUUCUAGUACUACUCUCGCCCAAGCACGAUUAACUGCGGAGUUCUGAUGGGAUCCGGUGCAUUAGCGUUGGUAUGAUCGCACCUGAUAUAUAAUACGGUUUAAUUGUAUAUUUGUCUUCAGGCCAAAUUUUGGAGAAAUCCGAGAAAGUAGACUAAAACACGAUAUUUUUCAUUAAUCUCGCCAAAAAUUGAACGAUAAAAUUUAUAACACGGUGAAAACUAACGGAAAUAAAAAAAAUCGAAAAAAGAGGUGCAACACAAGGACUUCCCAGGAGGUGACCCAUCCUAGUACUACUCUCGCCCAAGCAUGCUUAGCUGCAGA
rnacentral:lncRNA from 1 species